GCGGUACGGACCUGAAAAGUACUGUGUAAAAGGAUAGGCCAAGAAACGGUCACGGAAUGAUUUCGCUCUCAAAUUUACUUGAGCAGUACGCAGCUGCAACGGAAUAAUCGAUGAUCAAUGAUGAUGGUGAUGAUUGAGUCGAUCAAACCAGCUGUCACUUUUACUAACCGGAAAAAUAGCCUGACCGAUUAUUCCGCAAGUUAAAGUGGCAUUUCAAUGACAGAUUGUGAUCUUCUUGGUAAUCUUAUUUUUGUUCGCCAAGAAUUUUUGGCACUUCAGUCUGUUUUCCUGAUUGUUUUUGCGUUUUUUCCCGUCGCUUUGUUUUUUUUUUGAAAUUCUGGCAGAUUUUGAAGGCAAAAUCAAUAUGUUUGCGCAGCUUCAACGAAAACCGGCUAUUUCAGUGUUCCAGGGCCAGUGGAUGCGGCAAGAUGGGAAUGGUGGAAUAGUUUCAGGUCGCCGUAGAAAAAUAUCAGAGAACCUUGGCGCCUAGCGGCCAUCAGGUGCUAGUCACACCAGUUCUUGGAAUCGUGAGUGCUUGUGCGAUGGCAGCGUGACAUCAACCGGACUAGUUGUUCCAGCACCGACACAAGGAACUUGAAAUGGACGACACCUUUCCCGAUUAUGGCCACAAGUCGUACACCUGCUAAGCAUCUCCCAAUCGACCACCGUUAUUGCUCCCACAAUAGCAAUUCUACAUGAAAAGUGUGCUUAAAAUCCCUGCGAUUACGCCAACGUUGUGAAGAUGCUGGCCGGAUAGUGAAAAAUAUUGCUUUCGAUAAGGGAAAUUUCAACAGAAAUGCGUAAAUAUUCUAGCUGUGGUAACGAACUUGGAAGAUAUAAUCAAUGUUAUGCGCGCUGCGUAAGCCGACGAUCCAUUCUAGCGCACGGUAGGGGAGAGACUGCCUCAGUCAAUCACCAAGCACUUAUAUUCGUGUAGCUCUCGUGUGCGCGUGCAGUCGGCUCGGCAUGAUAAGAACCGAAUGCUAUAAACUAGAGGAUCUACCACAUCCCCUUUUCUCUCAAAGAUGAAUAUUGAAUAUAUACUUUUUAGGUUUUUUGAAACCAUUUUAGCAAGCCCCAAUUUAUCUCUAUGAACCAGUCAAAUGCACCUGCCUAAAAGCAUUACAAAUCUGCAAGCACUAAAUACAUGCGACUAUGUUAAAUGCGUUUAACGAUUUGUGUUAGUUUAUACAGAAAUAACGUUCUUGGUUUUGUCACAAUUCCACAUUGAUUAGAAAACCGAACUCGAAAUCAUAAAUGGGAUGCUACGAGUCAACGUUAGCAAAUCCUUACUUUCCGGCAGUGGUCAACAGUCUGUCUAUUCUCUCAUUCAACAACUUUAGGUCAGCAUCAUAUUCCAUUCCCGACUUGUUUCAUUGUACUUAUAAACGCACAACCUAAAUAAAUGUACUGUAAAGAUGUGCUGAUAAUCUACGAUGCCAAAUACAACAACAACACUAAAUAAUCUGUUAAUCCUACAUUCGCCUCCGUUUUUAGAGUCAAAACUUAUAAUUGCAUAAUUAUCGGCUAUCCAUGUUCUCUAUUGACUAGUCUUUAUUAUUAUUUCUAUUCCUAUUUAC